ACCCUAGCUUCCUGCCAGUCUUCAGUCCCACUGCAGCUUGAGGGGAGUCAGAGGGUGGGAGACAGCACAUGUCAGAGCUGGCAGGCUGAGCACAGUCAGCCCUAAGGGAGGAAGCAGGAGAGAGGCGGCCGCCAAGAACAGACUCACCCAUAGGAAGCAAGGUAUAGGGUUAGACCACUAGGGUCGGGCUGCCUUAUGGGGCUUAGUUUUGGGUAUAUUCUAGGAUGUGAUUCCUGAGUGUGGGAAGUGUAGGGUGGGGUUAGAUUGAAGGAGAUUUAGUGCUCACUCUCAGGGAACGGUGGCAGUGUGGAGGUUCACCCCGUUCUUGGUGUUAGGUGGGGAAAAGUUGGACUUCAAUGAGGCCUUUCCAUCAGCCUGCAAGGGUGGGGACAGGAAGGGAGAGAGGUGCAUUUGACGAGUCGGGCUUGUUGGCUGAUGGCACUGCAGAGUUUGGACAUCCCAGGAUACCAGGAGACCAAGGUGAGGAUUCAGUGGACACUUUGGACUGGCAAAGGCAGUUAGGGUUUGGCUAGGGUAGAUAUAAUUGGCAUUGGGCUAGGUUAGGUUUAAGGACUGGGUUACUUUAAAAGUUUCAGAUUAGUUUAGACUUGGGAUUUGGUUGAUUUAGUGCGGUUGAGGUUUGAGUCCAGCAAGGAUGUGGUGAGGUCUGGGCAGGCAGAGGGUGAGUUGGAGGGCUGUGACUUGGUCGGUUUAGGUAUCAGAUGGGGCGCUGCUUGUCAUGUUAUGAAGAGCAGGGCUAGUUUGGGUUUUCAGCUUG
rnacentral:lncRNA from 1 species